GACGAACGCUGGCGGCGUGCUUAAUACAUGCAAGUCGAACGGAGAGGGCGGGCUUUUGUGGGGUGCUCGAGUGGCGAACGGGUGAGUAACACGUGGGUAACCUGCCUGUUACUGUGGGAUAACUUUUGGAAACUGUGGCUAAUACCGGAUAGUAGCACAUGCUGCAUGGCGUUGGUUGGAAAGGUGCGGUGGCUUGGCUAGGACGUGGGGCUGCUUAGCUUCUGGGUGGUGGAGGGGAGUAGAAAGGCCUAGACGGGUAGCCAGACUGGGAGGGUGACCGGCCACAGUGGGACAGAGAUACGACCCAGACGGAUACGGGAGGCAGCAGUGGGGAUUAUUGCGCGAUGGGCGGAGUGCUGAUAGAGCGACGUCGCGUGCGAGAUGACGGUCGUAGGGUUGUAAACCGCGUUAGCCUGUGACGAAGAGUGUGUGACGGUAAUGUGUAAAGAAGCACCGGCUAACUACGUG
rnacentral:rRNA from 1 species